rnacentral:rRNA from 1 species
AACUGCUUUUAUGCGGGUAUAAAGGAGCAUACGUGUAUGUUUUUGCAGUUACCGCAUGAAUAAGGACCGGCUAAUUCCGUGCCAGCAGCCGCGGUAAUACGGAAGGUUCUGGUGUUAUCCGGAUUUAUUGGGUUUAAAGGGAGCGCAGGCUGUCAGAUAAGCGUGUUGUGAAAUGCGGUUGCUCAACAUCCGCACUGCAGCGCGAACUGUUUGACUUGAGUACGCACGACGUUGGUGGAAUUUGCCGUGUAGCGGUGAAAUGCUUAGAUAUGGCGAAGAACUCCGAUUGCGAAGGCAGCUGACGGGAGCGCUACUGACGCUCAUGCUCGAAAGUGCGGGUAUCGAACAGGAUUAGAUACCCUGGUAGUCC